rnacentral:rRNA from 1 species
AUGAACGCUGGCGGCGUGCCUAAUACAUGCAAGUCGAGCGAACAGAUGAGGAGCUUGCUCCUCUGACGUUAGCGGCGGACGGGUGAGUAACCCGUGGAUAACCUACCUAUAAGACUGGGAUAACUUCGGGAAACCGGAGCUAAUACCGGAUAAUAUAUUGAACCGCAUGGUUCCAUAGUGAAAGACGGUUUUGCUGUCACUUAUAGAUGGAUCCGCGCCGCAUUAGCUAGUUGGUAAGGUAACGGCUUACCAAGGCAACGAUGCGUAGCCGACCUGAGAGGGUGAUCGGCCACACUGGAACUGAGACACGGUCCAGACUCCUACGGGAGGCAGCAGUAGGGAAUCUUCCGCAAUGGGCGAAAGCCUGACGGAGCAACGCCGCGUGAGUGAUGAAGGUCUUCGGAUCGUAAAACUCUGUUAUUAGGGAAGAACAAAUGUGUAAGUAACUAUGCACGUCUUGACGGUACCUAAUCAGAAAGCCACGGCUAACUACGUG